AGAGUUUGAUCAUGGCUCAGAAUCAACGCUGGCGGCGUGCCUAACACAUGCAAGUCGAACGCGAAAGGGGCUUCGGCCCUGAGUAGAGUGGCGAACGGGUGAGUAACACGUGGGUGACCUACCCUCGAGUGGGGGAUAACAUCCCGAAAGGGACGCUAAUACCGCAUAACAUCCUGCCUUUGAACAGGUGGAGAUCAAAGCCGGGGAUCGCAAGACCUGGCGCUUGAUGAGGGGCCCGCGCCUGAUUAGCUAGUUGGUGGGGUAAUGGCUCACCAAGGCGACGAUCAGUAUCCGGCCUGAGAGGGCGGACGGACACACUGGGACUGAGACACGGCCCAGACUCCUACGGGAGGCAGCAGUGGGGAAUUGUUCGCAAUGGGCGCAAGCCUGACGACGCAACGCCGCGUGGAGGAUGAAGGUCUUCGGAUUGUAAACUCCUGUUGCUCGGGACGAAAAGCUUCGACCUAAUACGUCGAAGUCUGACGGUACCGAGUGAGGAAGCCCCGGCUAACUCUGUGCCAGCAGCAGCGGCGGUAAUUC
rnacentral:rRNA from 1 species